rnacentral:rRNA from 1 species
AUUGAACGCUGGCGGCAGGCCUAACACAUGCAAGUCGAGCGGCAGCACAGAGAAACUUGUUUCUCGGGUGGCGAGCGGCGGACGGGUGAGUAAUGCCUGGGAAAUUGCCCUGAUGUGGGGGAUAACCAUUGGAAACGAUGGCUAAUACCGCAUGAUGCCUACGGGCCAAAGAGGGGGACCUUCGGGCCUCUCGCGUCAGGAUAUGCCCAGGUGGGAUUAGCUAGUUGGUGAGGUAAGGGCUCACCAAGGCGACGAUCCCUAGCUGGUCUGAGAGGAUGAUCAGCCACACUGGAACUGAGACACGGUCCAGACUCCUACGGGAGGCAGCAGUGGGGAAUAUUGCACAAUGGGCGCAAGCCUGAUGCAGCCAUGCCGCGUGUGUGAAGAAGGCCUUCGGGUUGUAAAGCACUUUCAGUUGUGAGGAAGGUGGUGUCGUUAAUAGCGGCAUCAUUUGACGUUAGCAACAGAAGAAGCACCGGCUAACUCCGUGCCAGCAGCCGCGAUAAUACGGAGGGUGCGAGCGUUAAUCGGAAUUACUGGGCGUAAAGCGCAUGCAGGUGGUUUGUUAAGUCAGAUGUGAAAGCCCGGGGCUCAACCUCGGAACUGCAUUUGAAACUGGCAGACUAGAGUACUGUAGAGGGGGGUAGAAUUUCAGGUGUAGCGGUGAAAUGCGUAGAGAUCUGAAGGAAUACCGGUGGCGAAGGCGGCCCCCUGGACAGAUACUGACACUCAGAUGCGAAAGCGUGGGGAGCAAACAGG